rnacentral:rRNA from 1 species
UACGUAGGGUGCAAGCGUUGUCCGGAAUUAUUGGGCGUAAAGAGCUCGUAGGCGGUCUGUCGCGUCGAAUGUGAAAACCCGGGGCUCAACCCCGGGCUUGCAGUGGAUACGGGCAGACUAGAGUUCGGUAGGGGAGACUGGAAUUCCUGGUGUAGCGGUGAAAUGCGCAGAUAUCAGGAGGAACACCGGUGGCGAAGGCGGGUCUCUGGGCCGAUACUGACGCUGAGGAGCGAAAGCGUGGGGAGCGAACAGG